UCCGUAGGUGAACCUGCGGAGGGAUCAUUACAAGAGCGCCCGGGCUUCGGCCUGGUUAUUCAUAACCCUUUGUUGUCCGACUCUGUUGCCUCCGGGGCGACCCUGCCUUCGGGCGGGGGCCCCGGGUGGACACUUCAAACUCUUGCGUAACUUUGCAGUCUGAGUAAACUUAAUUAAUAAAUUAAAACUUUUAACAACGGAUCUCUUGGUUCUGACAUCGAUGAAGAACGCAGCGAAAUGCGAUAAGUAAUGUGAAUUGCAGAAUUCAGUGAAUCAUCGAAUCUUAGAGCGCACAUUGCGCCCCCUGGUAUUCCGGGGGGCAUGCCUGUUCGAGCGUCAUUUCACCACUCAAGCCUCGCUUGGUAUCGGGCAACGCGGUCCGCCGCGUGCCUCAAAUCGUCCGGCUGGGUCUUCUGUCCCCUAAGCGUUGUGGAAACUAUUCGCUAAAGGGUGUUCGGGAGGCUACGCCGUAAAACAACCCCAUUUCUAAGGUUGACCUCGGAUCAGGUAGGGAUACCCGCUGAACUUAAGCAUAUCAAUAAGCGGAGGA
rnacentral:rRNA from 1 species